rnacentral:rRNA from 1 species
UACGUAGGGUGCGAGCGUUAAUCGGAAUUACUGGGCGUAAAGCGUGCGCAGGCGGUUUCUGAAGUCCGUUGUGAAAGCCCCGGGCUUAACCUGGGAAUGGCAGUGGAAACUAAGAGACUUGAAUCUGGCAGAGGGGGGUGGAAUGCCACGUGUAGCAGUGAAAUGCGUAGAGAUGUGGCGGAACACCGAUGGCGAAGGCAGCCCCCUGGGUCAAGAUUGACGCUCAGGCACGAAAGCGUGGGGAGCAAACAGG